AACAGGCUCCAGGCUCUAAGCCAUCAGCCCAGAGCCUGACGCGGGGCUCGAACUCCUGGACCGCGAGAUCGUGACCUGGCUGAAGUCGGACGCUUAACCGACUGCGCCACCCAGGCGCCCCCUGGCUAACAACAAUUAAACGCAGAAAUUGGGGAAACCAUAGACAAGUCUCCAGCUGAGAGCUCUGCAGGGUCGUUCGUGUCAGCCAGUGAGGACACUGUGUGCUCAACCUUCGCUCUUGACUAAGUUCCCCCUUAUCCACGGUUUAGCUUUCCAUAGUUUCGGUUACUUGCCAUCAACCACAGUCCAGGGGCAGAUGAUCCUCCUUCUGAAGAGUCUUCGGAAGGCCGUUAAUAGACUAACAAUAGGUCACCGUGUCAUUCACCUGACAUCAUCUCAUCACGCAGGCAUUUCAUCAUCACGCAGCAAGGGGAAGGGCUGACUCCUCAGUUUAUCCCCUCCUGAAGGCUGCUUGGAGCCCCAUCACCCAGUGAACCGGCCCUUUUCACUGGGCGUCAGAGAACAGGAAUGUCUGGAUGGAGACAAACCAUCAUAGACCCAUGAGCCUUCUGUGAUAUCAUUGGUCCUGCCAGAAUUGCUUUGGAGGUGUUACGAGGUGGCAUAAUCGAACUACAAAAAUAUUGUUCUUUUGUUUGUUUUACAUGAUCCUCCUUGGCUAUAUCUGAGUGGGACAUUGGCAAGAUAUCUUCCUGGAAACUGAGCAGCUCUGUCAGCUCACUUCUUGCCUGUAUACAGUUGGAAGCCCCAGGAUCUUUCCAUGGAUACCCAGAGCCUGUAUGAACGCCUCAUCAUACCUGCUAAGUAGUUGUUCCUUUAACAAGAAUUCAGCCACUGAGUAAUACUGACCCUCCCUCUUCCAGUCUGUGAUAAAUUGACCUCACUAUCUGCCAUAUAACCCACGAAGCCGAUACCACAUAUUUCCAUGGAUGGUAGAACCUUGCAUAUCCUUGACUUCUUACUCAGCUUAGUCCUCCCCUCCUAGUGGCCAUGGACAACACACUUUGACAAGAUGCAUUGUUUGGAAGGCCUUUCUAAGACCUAUAGAAAGUGCUUGGGAGAGAUUGUAUAUGACCCCAAGAGACACGUGUGCAAGAUUUAGAAGGUGGACAAGAAGAAGUGGCCAUUUUUAUGUUCAGAUGGUGCGUGAACUGUGCUUCGACAGUGAUUUCUCUACACUUGAAGGGAGUGAAUAAAUGAUGUGAGCCAGACCAGGACAGUGCAGCAUUGAUUCAUUCCUUCAAAUCAGCACUAUUCACUGAAUUCCUCUCAUGGACUAAGAACUAUGAGACGUGGCACCUUAAAAGGUGAAUGAGAUGUGGCUCCUGCCCUCAAGAGGCUCAGCGUCGAGAGAGGCAAAGACUCACUCACUACAGAGGAACAGGGUCUUACCCGAGGAGCCAGUCCUGCAGGUCAAGAUUCUACAAUGUUCUAAGAUAAUCACUAGGCCACAUCAGCUGCAGCAGUCCCUAGGAAAAUCUCAGCUUGUAUGAAAGCCUUCUGCACAAGCCCCUACUCAGCCUCAGCUUAGACUCUGCACUCCACCAGAAGCCUACUCCACUGGGCUGCACCUGCUCACACAGACAGGUCUGCCCAUAGGGCCACAGCUCUCUCACAGGUGGCCAUCUUCUAAUUCUAUAGUAAGCCCGUUCUCCAAGGGGACUGCUGAGAAACACUGUGGUUUAGAGACAGGUUAUUUGCCCUCUGAAGGCUUCUCUGCUCUGAUCAGGUAAGCAGCACUGUCAGCACAGACUGGCCAUGGUUCCUACUUUUUUAUUACUUGUCCACAGCUCAGUCAUCCCCGCAGAUUUUGUUCAAACUGAAAAGAGUGUAAUGACUCGACAAAAAACACCUCCUGGUGGUUCCAACAAGGAGAGACCCAACUCUCUUUACAGUGGGAUAACUGUACCAAUAGAGGAUACUCUUAGCAACUUCUCCAAGAAAUGUCAUCAAUACGGGUAAGGGUUAGGUUCAGUUUGGUCGCGUACUUCAACCCAUUCCAACGUUCCCGCACACUCCCUGGCCGACUGCUCACUCAAUACCAACUCAAGAACCCCUUCAGCUGCUCUUCUCACACUUACAGGCAGAGUUUUGAAAGUUAGAGACAUAUUUCCCAGAGUCCCUUGCAGGAGGGUUUUAUAUGUGGCCCAGUUUCCAUCAAGCAGGCACGCUUUGAGUCUCAGAGGUAGCGGUCAGCAACCAGAAAAAAAGGGGCCAAAUUUGGGGAGAUUGGGUACUUGGGCAAGAAAGGAGCAGACGUAACUGGUUUUGAGGGCACAGGUAUGGUGUUUCCAGUGUUCAGUUCUUAGCACGUGUGCUGAACUGUGGGUAAUUUUAGCAGCAGGGCUUCUGCGACAUCAGUCACGUUUGGCAUGAUUAGACAUUUCUCUUAGUUCUGUUGCCUUCUGCUGUAAUAUUAUUGGAUCCAACUCAAAUCUUCUGGCCCUUCUGGAAAUUCUAGUGAGCUAUAUAAUACCCUUGAAUAACCCCCUUCCUGCUUAACUAGCUACAGUAGAGAUCUUGCUGCGGCUAAAAACCCUCACAGAUACAGGGUUUCUUGAAUUAGUAAUUGUAAUUAAUACUCUCAACCUCUCUUCCUAAGAAAUUAAAAUCUCAAGUGCCCAACACAAUUGCUCGCCAAUUUAUCCCUGGCCGAUUCUGACAGCAAUUCAGAAGAUUCCAGUUAUAAUCUUUCACUCAGUGACCUCCCCAGAGCAGUCCUGUCCCCAUCCCCAAGAAAGCUAUAUUCUAGUCAUGCACCUUUCAAUUCUUACGUCUACAUAAGAAUAUCGAUAUUCUCUCUCCUUCUGGGUAUAAAAUACAGAAGUGGAGGACUAAAACCUCUCCUCGGAUCAAGUGGGGUUCCAACACAAGAGAAUCUUUUGAUAAGAGUUUCUAACUUCAUAUCUAGUAUCACUGAAAUUGUCCCAAGGCCAGAGUGUGGAGUUUGUAUGAUACCGACAUAGCAAAAGGAAGAACCACUUCUAUCCAAUAGACUGGAGUGUGGUGAAUUCUAAGGCAAUUUUUAACCAAACCAAGUGAGAUAUUUAGUAAUUUCCUAGAGUUCAAGGUACCACUUCUCGAUGCUAAGGGCCCUCUCUCCCCAGCAAGUCUUGUAAAUUUUUGGCCUUAUUAGGAAUCAAGUCACAACAAUACCCUCCAGUUUCCUCAGUUUAAUGCCUGGUAAUCACAGCCUUACCAAUACCUUUAUGUUCCAUUCUGAAAUUUAAAGAACAUGUUUUCCACACUGAAAGUCACGCAGUUUGCAUAUCAAGCCACUACCAUUUUCCAAAACAGAAGAGGACAGAAAUCAAACCAACAAGUUUUAUGAAACAAAGAGAUUUUUUAAAAAAAGCAGACAGGGGCUCCUGGGUGGCUUAGUCAGUUAAGCAUCUGACUUUGGCUCAGGUCAUGAUCUCAUGGUUCGUGGGUUCAAGCCCUGGCAUCGGGCUCUGUGCCAACAGUUCAGAGCCUGGAGCCCCUCCUCUGCUCGUACUCUGUCUCUGUCCCUCAAAAAAUAAAUACAUGUUUAAAAAACAAUGGGGAAAAAAAAGCAGACAAAAGACCAGAACCCGAUGAUGUGUUUGAUGAGAAAGACAGUGGUGGGAAAAAAGUACUUUCUGGCUAUGAGUUCAGUGACCGGGCUACAAAGGAGGAAAAUGGAGUCAGAAAAGAAGGAAACAUGGAGAUGAUUCUAUUCCUAAACAGAGUGGAUUCAGAAGAAUCACUGAUGUUUUCUGUCCUCACUUAUUCUAUCAGGGUUACAUCAGAUGACAGACAAGGUAAUGAUCCUAGACAGUGGGAUUUAUCUAACAUGACCAAAGUUUUAAUGAAUGUAUAAUACCCAGGGGAAGCAUGGUGCAGUUGAAAAGGCACUGGGUCUUUGGGGUCAGUCUGACUUUAAAUUUGAAUCACCACUUAGAAGCUGUGAAACGUGAGGCAAGUGGCUUAACCUCUCUGGGCGUGUGCGUUCUCAGAUCUAAAGUAGGAUAAAUACAAUGCACUGCACAGAACUGCUUUGAAGCUGAAAUGAGAAGUGCCUAUCACAGUGCCUGACUCAAAACUAGUGAGUUCGUUAUCUCCCUCUUUCCUGUUCAUGUCCUGAGCUAAAAUAGCAGGAAGCCCUGACGGGUUAUUCUUUCCUCAAGAAAGGAAGGACAUAAUUUAUAAUUGUAUAACUUAAUGAAAAUAUCACGUAAAUAACUUCUUUACUGCAGCUUCCACAUUUGUAAGUUUAAUGUGUGAAACCUUUUUUUUUUUUUUGCUUCUAACAUUUAUCUGUUAUACACAUAUUUAAUCAGCACCUACUAUGUCCUACUCCUUGUUCUAGGCAAAAGGGAUACAGUAGAGAACAAAACCGGUCAGGUCCCUGUCCUCCUGAAAGUUAUACUCUGGUAGAUGUGUACCAGAACAGUUAUAGAAAUAAUGUUCUAGAGAGCCCAGUCAUUUCUCUGACAUCAGCCGUAACAACAUUUUUCUAGAUACGUCUCCGGAGGCAAGGGACACAAAAGCAAAAAUACACUACUGGGACGACAUCAAAAUGAAAAGCUUUUGCACAGUAAAGGAAACAGUCAACAAGACUAAAAGACAACCCACUGAAUGGCAGAAGAUAUUUGUCAAUGACAUAUCCAAUAAAGGGUUAGUAUCCAAAAAGGAACUUACACACCUCAACACCCAACAAACAAAUAAUCCAAUUAAAAAUGGACAGAACCCAUGAACAGACAUGUCUCCAAAGAAGACAUACAAAUGGCCAACAGACACAUGAAAAACGCUCAACACCACUCAUCUU